rnacentral:rRNA from 1 species
AACGCUGGCGGCGUGCCUAAUACAUGCAAGUCGAACGCACAGCGAAAGGUGCUUGCACCUUUCAAGUGAGUGGCGAACGGGUGAGUAACACGUGGAUAACCUACCUCAAGGUUGGGGAUAACAUUUGGAAACAGAUGCUAAUACCGAAUAAAACUUCGUAUCGCAUGAUACAAGGUUAAAAGGCGCUACGGCGUCACCUAGAGAUGGAUCCGCGGUGCAUUAGUUAGUUGGUGGGGUAAAGGCCUACCAAGACAAUGAUGCAUAGCCGAGUUGAGAGACUGAUCGGCCACAUUGGGACUGAGACACGGCCCAAACUCCUACGGGAGGCUGCAGUAGGGAAUCUUCCACAAUGGGCGAAAGCCUGAUGGAGCAACGCCGCGUGUGUGAUGAAGGCUUUCGGGUCGUAAAGCACUGUUGUAUGGGAAGAACAGCUAGAGUAGGGAAUGACUUUAGUUUGACGGUACCAUACCAGAAAGGGACGGCUAAAUACGUGCCAGCAGCCGCGGUAAUACGUAUGUCCCGAGCGUUAUCCGGAUUUAUUGGGCGUAAAGCGGGCGCAGACGGUUAAUUAAGUCUGAUGUGAAAGCCCGGAGCUCAACUCCGGAAAGGCAUUGGAAACUGGUUAACUUGAGUGCAGUAGAGGUAAGUGGAACUCCAUGUGUAGCGGUGGAAUGCGUAGAUAUAUGGAAGAACACCAGCGGCGAAGGCGGCUUACUGGACUGUAACUGACGUUGAGGCUCGAAAGUGUGGGUAGCAAACAGGAUUAGAUACCCUGGUAGUCCACACCGUAAACGAUGAACACUAGGUGUUAGGAGGUU